rnacentral:rRNA from 1 species
AGAGUUUGAUUAUGGCUCAGGAUGAACGCUAGCUACAGGCUUAACACAUGCAAGUCGAGGGCAGCAAUAACGAAAGCUUGCUUCUGUUGAUGGCGACCGGCGCACGGGUGAGUAACGCGUAUCCAACCUCCCUAUACUAGAGAAUAGCCCGGCGAAAGUCGGAUUAAUGCUCUAUGUUCUUCUUUGAUGGCAUCUGACGAGAAGCAAAGGUUUACCGGUAUAGGAUGGGGGAUGCGUCUGAUUAGGUCGUUGGCGGGGUAACGGCCCACCAAGCCUACGAUCAGUAGGGGUUCUGAGAGGAAGGUCCCCCACAUUGGUACUGAGACACGGACCAAACUCCUACGGGAGGCAGCAGUGAGGAAUAUUGGUCAAUGGGCGAGAGCCUGAACCAGCCAAGUAGCGUGCAGGAUGACUGCCCUAUGGGUUGUAAACUGCUUUUAUAGGGGAAUAAAGUGAGGUAUGUAUACCUUUUUGUAUGUACCCUAUGAAUAAGGACCGGCUAAUUCCGUGCCAGCCGCGGC